CGUACUUGAAACUUGCCUUUCGCCAUAUUGAAAAUAACUUGCUUACAUCCAGUGAGAAGCUAGGUUGCAGAAAUGGCCAAGUCUAAGAAUCACACCAACCACAACCAGAACAGGAAACAGCACCGAAACAAGAUCCAGAAGCCAAAGUCUAACAGAUACCCAUCUCUCAAGGGAGUUGACCCCAAGUUCUUGCGUAACAUGAGAUUCGCCAAGAAGGGCAACAAGCGGGUACAUGUCUCCAAGGCAGAGUAGGCGUCGGUGCUGGAGAGUGGGUCUACACAGAUGGUUACUAUCUUAGUGGAUUUUGUACAGGAUGGAUGUAAAAAAUAAAAAAACUUAAAAAUGA